rnacentral:rRNA from 1 species
UACGUAGGGUGCAAGCGUUAAUCGGAAUUACUGGGCGUAAAGCGUGCGCAGGCGGUGAUGUAAGACAGGUGUGAAAUCCCCGGGCUUAACCUGGGAACUGCAUUUGUGACUGCAUCGCUGGAGUGCGGCAGAGGGGGAUGGAAUUCCGCGUGUAGCAGUGAAAUGCGUAGAUAUGCGGAGGAACACCGAUGCGAAGGCAAUCCCCUGGGCCUGCACUGACGCUCAUGCACGAAAGCGUGGGGAGCAAACAGG